rnacentral:rRNA from 1 species
GACGAACGCUGGCGGCGUGCUUAACACAUGCAAGUCGAACGCUGAAGCUCAGCUUUUGUUGGGUGGAUGAGUGGCGAACGGGUGAGUAACACGUGAGUAACCUGCCCCCUUCUUUGGGAUAACGCCCGGAAACGGGAGCUAAUACUGGAUAUUCACUGGUCUUCGCAUGGGGGUUGGUGGAAAGGGUUUUUCUGGUGGGGGAUGGGCUCGCGGCCUAUCAGCUUGUUGGUGGGGUGAUGGCCUACCAAGGCUUUGACGGGUAGCCGGCCUGAGAGGGUGACCGGUCACAUUGGGACUGAGAUACGGCCCAGACUCCUACGGGAGGCAGCAGUGGGGAAUAUUGCACAAUGGGCGCAAGCCUGAUGCAGCGACGCCGCGUGAGGGAUGGAGGCCUUCGGGUUGUGAACCUCUUUCGCUCAUGGUCAAGCCGCAACAAUGGUUGUGGUGAGGGUAGUGGGUAAAGAAGCGCCGGCUAACUACGUG